GACGAACGCUGGCGGCGUGCCUAAUACAUGCAAGUAGAACGCUGAAGGAGGAGCUUGCUCUUCUGGAUGAGUUGCGAACGGGUGAGUAACGCGUAGGUAACCUGCCUGGUAGCGGGGGAUAACUAUUGGAAACGAUAGCUAAUACCGCAUAAUAGUAGAUGUUGCAUGACAUUUGCUUAAAAGGUGCAAUUGCAUCACUACCAGAUGGACCUGCGUUGUAUUAGCUAGUUGGUGAGGUAACGGCUCACCAAGGCAACGAUACAUAGCCGACCUGAGAGGGUGAUCGGCCACACUGGGACUGAGACACGGCCCAGACUCCUACGGGAGGCAGCAGUAGGGAAUCUUCGGCAAUGGACGGAAGUCUGACCGAGCAACGCCGCGUGAGUGAAGAAGGUUUUCGGAUCGUAAAGCUCUGUUGUAAGAGAAGAACGAGUGUGAGAG
rnacentral:rRNA from 1 species